rnacentral:rRNA from 1 species
UGUAGAAGCGACAGCACGUUGAAUACACCAGUUCUCAAUGGAUCACUGAAGUUGAGUAACAUUGCAUGUGGUUGGUAUGCCGAAGGGUGACAAUCUGGGCAAUCCAGGGCUGCUGGCU